GUCAGUUUUUAAUAUUCUCUUUUUUCCAUUUACUAAUUUUAUUGUUUGUAUUUGGAGCACAGUUUUUAUUUUAUGUCUAUGCUGUGUGUCUUACUAUUGAGCUACAUGAUUAUAUUUUCUCUUUUACUAAUAUCAGUAGGAUGUGGAUGUUAUUUAUACAUGUCUUUUUCCUUAUUAUUUAUCAGUCUGUCUAGAGGUUAUCAAUUGUAAAAAAAUAAACCAGCUUUUAGUUUCAUCUUUUUUUCUAUUUUUUAAACUUUUAAUAUAAUUGAUUUAUUUUCUACUCUUUAUUAUUUUCUUCCUUCUAUUUGCUUUGGGUUUAAUUUGCUUUUCUUUCUCUAGUGUCCUAAUGUAAGUAUUUAAUGUUAGUAUCACAAUGAAAUCUUCAGGCAAUAUUUUCUCACUGCAUUUAUUUGUCUGAAAAAGUAUUUCACCUUCAUUGCUGAAAGAUAUUUUCUCUAGGUAUGGAGAUCUGGGUUGACAGGCUUUUUUAUUUCUUUCAAAAAUUUAAAGCUGUGAUUCCAAUAUCUUCUGACUUGUAGGCUUUCCGACGAGAAGGUGACUGUAAUUUUUGUCUUUGUUUCUCUGUAAUGUGAUGUGUCUUUUCACUGGCUGCCUUCAAAAUUGUCUUUUUAUGUUUUUCAGCCCUUUGAAUAGGAUAUGUCUAGGCAUAUGAUAUUUUUCAGUCUUGCUUUGCAAUCGCUUAGCCUCUUGAAUCUUUUUUAAAUGUCUUUCAUUAUUUUUGGAAAAUUUAUCUUUUCAAAUAUCUCUCUCGUUUUGUGCUCUCUCCUCCUUCUGGGUCUUCAAUUACAAGUAUUUAGAUGAUUUGAAAUUGUCACACAGCUUUUUGAUGCUCCGUUCUGUUUGUAUUCAUUCUUUUUUUCUCUGUCUUUAAGCUUUGGUGAUGCCUGUUGACCCAUCUUCAAGUUCAUGAUUCUUUCCUUAGCCAGGCCAAGUCCAUUGUUGAACCUGCUGAAGGAAUCCUUCAAAGGAUCUUUUAUUAUGCCCUAGGGCUGACCAGCUUUAUUUUUCUGCUUGAAGCAUUUGCUUCUCUAUGAGACAAGGGAUCAGGCAGGGAAGAAGGGUUUUUAUUUUUCCUGCAAUGGCAGCUACUCCCUCCUCCAUGCCUUCAUCAGCAGAGGAGGUCCUCCUGUCUCUUAUCCUGUUCUCUUGAACAGCCACUGGAGAUCUAUGGAAAAGAGCUUAAAGGCCAUGUGAAGACACGGUGAGAAGACGGCCAUCUGAAAGUCAGGAGGAGUAUCCUCUUGAGAACUGAAUCAAGCUAGUACUUUGAUCUUGGACUUCCAGCCUCCAGAACUGCAGUGUUGGUCUGCAAGCUUCAAGAGCCAGUGACCCUGACUGCCAAGUGAUUUGCCGAAGGGAAUUAUGGUUUUGCAUUUGAUGGUUUCCAGGAACUGCUAAGAGUGAGAUCAUCCCUGAAGCAGUGACUGCCAGAGGAAGGCGAGAGACAUAUGGUGGCCUUACAGCCAUGUGAAGUGCCUCACUCCCUGUUCACCUUCCACCAUGAUUUUAAGUUCUGUGAGGCCUCCCUAGAAGCUGAUGCCACCAUGUUUCCUGUACAACCUGCAGAAUGGUGCUUCAUGGAGAGAGUUUGUCGCUUUUUUGUCCUUUUGCCUUCUGCCACAUAAGGACACGGAAUUCCUCUCCAGAAGUAGCAGUUAAGAGGCCUUCUUGGAAGCAGAGACCAACUGCUUAGAAACAGAGACCUCACCAGACAACAAACCUGCCAGCACCUGUGCCUUGAUCUCAAACUUUGCAGCCCCAGAACGAUUAUUUCUGUCUGGUGAAACUAAUCAUUCCAGAGUUCUUCAGCUUUUGGACUCUUGGACUUACAACAGUGGUUUGCAAG
rnacentral:lncRNA from 1 species